UUUUUGUGGCCUUUUUACGUCAGAUUUUUUCUAUCCCACAGAGGCACAAAUGGAUAAAAGCAAAAAACAACAAAAAAAUUGCUCCUACCACACAGGCCUAGGUGUUUAUCCAAUUAGGAGUGCUCUGAAAGAAAGAGUGAGGAAGGGCCAAACAGAAUUGCUGAUCGACUGGGAGCCUUGUGCAGCAUG